rnacentral:rRNA from 1 species
CAAGACCUUGUGCUUUAGGAGCGGCCGAUGUCAGAUUAGCUAGUUGGUGGGGUAACGGCCCACCAAGGCGACGAUCUGUAGCGGGUCUGAGAGGAUGAUCCGCCACACUGGGACUGAGACACGGCCCAGACUCCUACGGGAGGCAGCAGUGGGGAAUUUUGGACAAUGGGGGCAACCCUGAUCCAGCCAUGCCGCGUGAGUGAAGAAGGCCUUCGGGUUGUAAAGCUCUUUCGGCCGGGAAGAAAUCGUGUGGGCUAAUAUCCUGCAUGGAUGACGGUACCGGACUAAGAAGCACCGGCUAACUACGUGCCAGCAGCCGCGGUAAUACGUAGGGUGCGAGCGUUAACCGGAAUUACUGGGCGUAAAGCGUGCGCAGGCGGUUUUUUAAGACAGGCGUGAAAUCCCCGGGCUUAACCUGGGAACU